rnacentral:rRNA from 1 species
CCUACGGGUGGCUGCAGUGAGGAAUAUUGGUCAAUGGACGCAAGUCUGAACCAGCCAUGCCGCGUGCAGGAUGACGGCUCUAUGAGUUGUAAACUGCUUUUGUACGAGGGUAAACCCCGAUACGUGUAUCGGGUUGAAAGUAUCGUACGAAUAAGGAUCGGCUAACUCCGUGCCAGCAGCCGCGGUAAUACGGAGGAUCCGAGCGUUAUCCGGAUUUAUUGGGGUUAAAGGGUGCGUAGGCGGAUUUUUAAGUCAGCGGUAAAAUGUCCGGGCUCAACCCGGGCCGGCCGUUGAAACUGGGGAUCUUGAGUGGGCGAGAAGUAUGCGGAAUGCGUGGUGUAGCGGUGAAAUGCAUAGAUAUCACGCAGAACUCCGAUUGCGAAGGCAGCAUACCGGCGCCCGACUGACGCUGAGGCACGAAAGCGUGGGGAUCGAACAGGAUUAGAUACCCGGGUAGUC